AGUGAACGCUGGCGGCAUGCCUAAUACAUGCAAGUCGAACGGCCACACAGUGAGAGUUUUCCCUUAACGGUGGCGACUGGCGGAUGGGUGACAAGUACAUAAGAUUCCACUAUUUCGUGGGUGACUACGUAGAGCCACUUAUGAUACUACCGCAUAUGUUCUACCGGUUGAAGCAAGAGUUCUUCGCACUUUGCCUGUUUCUUAGAGCUGAUGUCGGAUUACCUAGUCUGGGGGGUAAAGGACCACCUUGGCGACGAUCCGUAGCUUGUCCGAGAGGAUGAUCAGCCACACUGAAACUGAGACACGGUCCAGACUCCUACGGGAGGCAGCAGUGGGGAAUAUUGGACAAGGGGCGCAAGCCUGGGCCAGCCAUACCGCGUGGGUGAAGAGGGCCUGCGGCUUGUAAAGCCGUUUUGUGGGAAAAGAAAAGCAGCAGGUUAAUACCCAGCUGUUCUGACUGUACCCAAAGAAUAAGCACCGUCUAACCUCG
rnacentral:rRNA from 1 species